rnacentral:rRNA from 2 species
AAACUUUCAACAACGGAUCUCUUGGCUCUGGCAUCGAUGAAGAACGCAGCGAAAUGCGAUACGUAAUGUGAAUUGCAGAAUUCAGCGAACCAUCGAAUCUUUGAACGCACAUUGCGCCCGCCAGCACUCUGGCGGGCAUGCCUGUCCGAGCGUCAUUU